UGAGGAAUAUUGGUCAAUGGACGUAAGUCUGAACCAGCCAAGUAGCGUGCAGGAUGACGGCCCUAUGGGUUGUAAACUGCUUUUAUGCGGGGAUAAAGUUGGGGACGUGUCCCUUUUUGCAGGUACCGCAUGAAUAAGGACCGGCUAAUUCCGUGCCAGCAGCCGCGGUAAUACGGAGGUCCGGGCGUUAUCCGGAUUUAUUGGGUUUAAAGGGAGCGUAGGCCGGCUUUUUAAGCGUGUUGUGAAAUGCCGCGGCUCAACCGUGGCACUGCAGCGCGAACUGGAGGCCUUGAGUGCGCGGGAGGUAGGCGGAAUUCGUGGUGUAGCGGUGAAAUGCUUAGAUAUCACGAAG
rnacentral:rRNA from 1 species